rnacentral:rRNA from 1 species
GUCUAUGGCCAUGCUACCCUGAACAAGCCCAAUUCCUUCUGAUCUUGGAAGCUAAGCAGGGUUAGGCCUAUUUAGUACUGGAUGGGAGACCACCUAAGAAGACCAGGUGCUGUAGGCG